UACGUAGGGGGCAAGCGUUGUCCGGAAUUAUUGGGCGUAAAGAGCGCGUAGGCGGUCCGGUAAGUCGGUUGUGAAAGUCGGGGGCUCAACCCUCGGAUGACCGAUCGAUACUGUCGGGCUAGAGUCCGGAAGAGGCGAGUGGAAUUCCUGGUGUAGCGGUGAAAUGCGCAGAUAUCAGGAGGAACACCAAUGGCGAAGGCAGCUCGCUGGGACGGUACUGACGCUG
rnacentral:rRNA from 1 species